CUAGGCUUUCUCCUGAGAGGCAUCUGUCUUACAGAGAUGAUUACGCACCUCGUGGUUCUGGUUAUUCAGAUGUUCCUAGAAGCUCUUCUCGCUCAGAAAUGAGGAGGCCGUACGUGGAUGAUCUUUACAGUCCGAGAUUUGAAAGACCUCCAAAUUACAGUGAAGGAAGAUCUCGUGCUUAUGAACCUCUUCCUGUGUCACCUCGUGGUUCUGGUUAUUCAGAUGUUCCUAGAAGUUCUUCUCGCUCAGAAAUGAGGAGGCCGUACGUGGAUGAUCUUUACAGUCCGAGAUUUGAAAGACCUCCAAGUUACAGUGAAGGAGGAUCUCGUGCUUAUGAACCUCUUCCUGGGUCAAAGCGACCAUAUGCUGCAUUGGUCGGAAUUUAUUGCUUACUCUUGACCAUUUGGUUCUCUUGGGUUUUUGAUCGUUGAACUAUAUGAUUGUUUACUCAACGAGUGUUUGUUAUGUAGGAU
rnacentral:lncRNA from 1 species